rnacentral:rRNA from 1 species
GACGAACGCUGGCGGCGUGCCUAAGACAUGCAAGUCGAGCGGGGUAUACGGUACGGCUUGCCGUAGCGGAUACCUAGCGGCGAACGGGUGAGUAACACGUGGGCAACCUACCCGCGAGGCCGGGAUAACAGUGGGAAACUGCUGCUAAUACCGGAUAUUCUUCAGCUGUCGCAUGGCAGGUGAAGGAAAGGUGGCCUCUGCAUAGCAAGCUACCGUUCGCGGAUGGGCCCGCGUCCCAUUAGCUAGUUGGUGAGGUAACGGCCCACCAAGGCGACGAUGGGUAGCCGGCCUGAGAGGGUGGUCGGCCACACUGGAACUGAGACACGGUCCAGACUCCUACGGGAGGCAGCAGUCGGGAAUCUUGGGCAAUGGGGGAAACCCUGACCCAGCGACGCCGCGUGGAGGAUGAAGGCCUUCGGGUUGUAAACUCCUGUCUUCGGGGACGAAGGUUCCGCCUUCGAACAGGGGGUGGAGGUGACGGUACCCGAGGAGGAAGCCCCGGCUAACUACGUGCCAGCAGCCGCGGUAAGACGUAGGGGGCGAGCGUUGUCCGGAAUUACUGGGCGUAAAGGGCAAGUAGGCGGCCUGCUAAGUCGGGUGUGAAAGGCGCGGGCUCAACCUGCGCAGGCCACUCGAAACUGGCGGGCUUGAGGGCAGGAGAGGAGAGCGGAAUUCCCGGUGUAGCGGUGAAAUGCGUAGAUAUCGGGAGGAACACCAGUGGCGAAUGCGGCUCUCUGGCCUGUACCUGACGCUCAAUUGCGAAAGCUAGGGGAGCGAACGGGAUUAGAUACCCCGGUAGU